GACGAACGCUGGCGGUGUGCUUAACACAUGCAAGUCGAACGGUAAGGCCCUUUCGGGGGUACACGAGUGGCGCACGGGUGAGUAACACGUGAGUAACCUGCCCUCAUCUCUGGGAUAACAGUCGGAAACGGUUGCUAAUACUGGAUAUGAGCUUGCAAGGCAUCUUGUGGGUUGGAAAGAUUUUUUUGGUUGGGGAUGGACUCGCGGCCUAUCAGCUUGUUGGUGAGGUAGUGGCUCACCAAGGCUUCGACGGGUAGCCGGCCUGAGAGGGCGACCGGCCACAUUGGGACUGAGAUACGGCCCAAACUCCUACGGGAGGCAGCAGUGGGGAAUAUUGCACAAUGGACGGAAGUCUGAUGCAGCAACGCCGCGUGCGGGAGGACGGCCUUCGGGCUGUAAACCGCUUUCAAUUGUGACGAAGCUUUUUGUGACGGUAGCAGUAGAAGAAGCACCGGCUAACUACGUG
rnacentral:rRNA from 1 species